AGAGUUUGAUCAUGGCUCAGAUUGAACGCUGGCGGCAGGCCUAACACAUGCAAGUCGAGCGGUAGCACAGAGAGCUUGCUCUCGGGUGACGAGCGGCGGACGGGUGAGUAAUGUCUGGGAAACUGCCUGAUGGGAGGGGGAUAACUACUGGAAACGGUAGCUAAUACCGCAUAAUGUCGCAAGACCAAAGUGGGGGACCUUCGGGCCUCAUGCCAUCAGAUGUGCCCAGAUGGGAUUAGCUAGUAGGUGGGGUAACGGCUCACCUAGGCGACGAUCCCUAGCUGGUCUGAGAGGAUGACCAGCCACACUGGAACUGAGACACGGUCCAGACCUCCUACGGGAGGCAGCAGUGGGGAAUAUUGCACAAUGGGCGCAAGCCUGAUGCAGCCAUGCCGCGUGUGUGGAAGAAGGCCUUCGGGUUGUAAAGCACUUUCAGCGGGGAGGAAGGCGGUGAGGUUAAUAACCUCAUCGAUUGACGUUACCCGCAGAAGAAGCACCGGCUAACUCCGUGCCAGCAGCCGCGGUAAUACGGAGGGUGCAAGCGUUAAUCGGAAUUACUGGGCGUAAAGCGCACGCAGGCGGUCUGUCAAGUCGGAUGUGAAAUCCCCGGGCUCAACCUGGGAACUGCAUUCGAAACUGGCAGGCUAGAGUCUUGUAGAGGGGGGUAGAAUUCCAGGUGUAGCGGUGAAAUGCGUAGAGAUCUGGAGGAAUACCGGUGGCGAAGGCGGCCCCCUGGACAAAGACUGACGCUCAGGUGCGAAAGCGUGGGGAGCAAACAGGAUUAGAUACCCUGGUAGUCCACGCCGUAAACGAUGUCGAUUUGGAGGUUGUGCCCUUGAGGCGUGGCUUCCGGAGCUAACGCGUUAAAUCGACCGCCUGGGGAGUACGGCCGCAAGGUUAAAACUCAAAUGAAUUGACGGGGGCCCGCACAAGCGGUGGAGCAUGUGGUUUAAUUCGAUGCAACGCGAAGAACCUUACCUGGUCUUGACAUCCACAGAACUUUCCAGAGAUGGAUUGGUGCCUUCGGGAACUGUGAGACAGGUGCUGCAUGGCUGUCGUCAGCUCGUGUUGUGAAAUGUUGGGUUAAGUCCCGCAACGAGCGCAACCCUUAUCCUUUGUUGCCAGCGGUUCGGCCGGGAACUCAAAGGAGACUGCCAGUGAUAAACUGGAGGAAGGUGGGGAUGACGUCAAGUCAUCAUGGCCCUUACGACCAGGGCUACACACGUGCUACAAUGGCAUAUACAAAGAGAAGCGACCUCGCGAGAGCAAGCGGACCUCAUAAAGUAUGUCGUAGUCCGGAUUGGAGUCUGCAACUCGACUCCAUGAAGUCGGAAUCGCUAGUAAUCGUAGAUCAGAAUGCUACGGUGAAUACGUUCCCGGGCCUUGUACACACCGCCCGUCACACCAUGGGAGUGGGUUGCAAAAGAAGUAGGUAGCUUAACCUUCGGGAGGGCGCUUACCACUUUGUGAUUCAUGACUGGGGUGAAGUCGUAACAAGGUAACCGUAGGGGAACCUGCGGUUGGAUCACCU
rnacentral:rRNA from 1 species